GACAUCAGUUCACCUCAAGUUCACACAAGCUGUGUCCAAAAGCUGAAAAAUAGAGGGGUUGCAAAUGCCUGAAACUAAAGGCUGAUUUAUACUUCUGCAUCGGACCUACGCCAUAGCCUAUGCUUAGACGAACACA
ensembl:lncRNA